GAUUUUUUGUUUUUAUUAGUGUUUUUAUUUGGGAGUGAAAUCUUUAAUUAUGAAGCGUUAGAUAAUUUAGGAGUUUGUUUUAGAGGCUAUUAAGGUUUAGGGUUAGACUAGGAUUAGAUACCCUAUUAUACUAAACGUAGAAUAUUAUAUGCUUGAGUAGUAAUCAGUUAUGUUCUUGAAAUUUAAAGGAUUUGGCGGUAUUCAAGUCUAGUUAGAGGAACCUGUUCUUUAAACGAUAUGCCACGAAUAAUCUUACUUUUUUUUGUUCUCAGUUUGUAUACCGCCAUUAUUAGGUAAUGUUUUAAAAUAUUUACUGUAAUAGUUUCCUUUAGUAUAUUAGGUCAAGGUGCAGCCAAUAGAAAAGUAGUUAUGGGUUACAUUUUAUUUUAUAAUUCGGAUGAGGUGUUGAAUUGUAUCUUUAAAGUCGGAUUUAAUUGUAAUCCUGUUUUAAUAAGUCAGGUUGAUAAUAGCUCUAGAGUAUGUACACAUUGCCCGUCGCUCUCAUAA
rnacentral:rRNA from 1 species